rnacentral:lncRNA from 1 species
CUUGAGUUGGCUGCUCUGAGUAUAGGGAGCUACAUUUAAUUUAUUUUAUUUCGACCACCUCUUAGGUUUUUCAUCCUUCAUUUCUUCUGUUUCUGGUUCUUUUUAUGGUUCUUUUAAAAGAUAAAUGUGUUUUGUUAUCCUUAAUGUUUCCUUUCUUUCUUUUGUCUUUAUCUGCAUUUAAAUGCUUUCUGCCUUCUGGUUUCUAUUUGUAGUAGUAUGUUCUUCUGUUUUUUUAGUAGAUUUUGCUCUCAGUCUACAGUCAUCUGCUUUAUGCCAUCUAGAAUAUCCUCACUCUCUUAGUUUGCUGGUGAUUAUUGUGUAUUUCUCAUGCCUUUGAAUUGAAAAUAUAUUUAUUGUGUAAUUUCCUAUGGAUUUAAGGAGGGGAAUAUAUUUUUCUGGAAUUCUCUUUCUUUCUGAUAUGCUUUCUCCCUUUUUCUUUAUCAUCAAUGACUUACUCUACCUGCCAUUUAUCUUCACCUAUGAUUUAGAAGGAAAUUAUAACAUCGACCUGAUAGGAUUGCCAAGAAGAUUAACUGACAUAUUAUAUGCAAAGCACUUAGAACAAUGCCUGGCACAUGGGUGUAGCACUGUAAAUGUUUGUCGGAAACAACACUAUCAGGAAAUAUGAUUAUCCUGGAAUAUAUUUGAAGACAGUUCAGCCAAAAUAUAUCCAAAACAGUUUAAGGUGAAACAAUCGCAGCAAUAUAUCUCAAGAAAUGAUUUUUAGUUGUAUACAGGCUCUUUUUCCUUACAGUUAAAUGUGUCUGUAGAAAAGAAAUAACCUAAAUGUCUUCAAAUUUUUGAAUAUUUGCUUCACUCAUAAAAUGCUUAAUACUAGUUGGUAUACUUGUUUAUAUAAUAAACUUUCAUUAGAAUGUUCUGCAUGUAACAUAUAAAAAAUGUCACAAAACAAUAAUUUUAUAAAGCAAGCAAGAAAGCUUUCAAUUUUCAGUCUACCUAUAGGUUUUAUCAUGAAGUCAAAAUAUUAUUUCUUUUGUGUAAACUAUAAGUAUAGAUUUUCCUAAUUAUUAGUGUACUCUCUAACAAGAGAUAAGUUAGCAUCAGUGUUACUAUUCUGAUAACUACUUCUCAUUCACAUCAAAUUUAAUUUGGCUUGAGUAAUAAAUCUUUAUUUUGAUUGUCCUUAGUCUUGGUUCUCAGACUUUAUUAAAUAAAUGAUGCAUAUAAUUUACUUUUUUCCAUUAAAUUAUUGCUCUCUAGGUCAUGAAGUUUAUAGUCAUGAAAUUCUACAAUAAUAUUAUCUUUAUAAGAUUGGUUUCCAUCAUUUCACAUAAAUUAUACCUGUUUAGACUGUCUAUUACUAGGUA